UGUGUUGUUGGGUAGGGGAGCGUUCUGUAAGCCUGCGAAGGUGUCUCGUGAGGGAUGCUGGAGGUAUCAGAAGUGCGAAUGCUGACAUAAGUAACGAUAAUGCGGGUGAAAAACCCGCACGCCGGAAGACCAAGGGUUCCUGUCCAACGUUAAUCGGGGCAGGGUGAGUCGACCCCUAAGGCGAGGCCGAAAGGCGUAGUCGAUGGGAAACAGGUUAAUAUUCCUGUACUUGGUGUUACUGCGAAGGGGGGACGGAGAAGGCUAUGUUAGCCGGGCGACGGUUGUCCCGGUUUAAGCAUGUAGGCGGAGGUUCCAGGUAAAUCCGGUACCUUAUUAACGCUGAGGUGUGAUGACGAGGCACUACGGUGCUGAAGUAACAAAUGCCCUGCUUCCAGGAAAAGCCUCUAAGCAUCAGGUAACAUCAAAUCGUACCCCAAACCGACACAGGUGGUCAGGUAGAGAAUACCAAGGCGCUUGAGAGAACUCGGGUGAAGGAACUAGGCAAAAUGGUGCCGUAACUUCGGGAGAAGGCACGCUGAUAUGUAGGUGAAGUGGUUUACCCAUGGAGCUGAA
rnacentral:rRNA from 1 species